rnacentral:rRNA from 1 species
AAUGAACGUUGGCGGCGUGGAUUAGGCAUGCAAGUCGCGCGACAAGGAACCUUCGGGUUCUGGAGGAGCGGCAAACGGGGUAGUAAGGCAUCGGAACGUACCCUCUUGUUGGGAAUAGCCGCGGGAAACUGCGAGUAAUGCCCAAUAAUCCCUACGGGGCAAAGGUCCGCCGCAGGAGGAGCGGCCGAUGUGAUACCAGCUAGUUGGUGAGGUAAUGGCUCACCAAGGCUUAGACGUCUAGGGGGUGUGAGAGCAUGGCCCCCACCACUGGGACGUGAGAUACUGCCCACGACACCUACGGGUGGGCGUGCAGUCGAGAAU